rnacentral:tRNA from 1 species
UGUUCAAGCCCUCUAUCCCCA